UAUCCAGCACGCAACCGCACUGUUGCCAGAUUUACUUCUUUUCUUUUAGCGGGAAUUUUAAAAUAUCUAAUGUCAGUUGGUUUAAAAUUUGACAGUUGUAUUUUUUUGAUUCCGAAUCUUAACCUUACUUUACAGGUGAUUUGAUUAUGUACAAAAAAUGUACAAUGUAAAUAAAUUGAACCAAGUAAUGUACUAAAAUAUGCUAUGUUAUAAUUUAAAACUCGUUAUGUUAGUCUUUUGAAAAGAAUUAAACUCAAAAGAGAUAUACUUGUUUACAGUGCAAAUUAAUGGCAAUAAUAGGGAUUUACGAUUUAAUUUGCAGGAAAAACAUGGGCAACCUACCCAGUUGGUAAAAUUUGUAGAUUUUACUGUGUGGAUGUCACAGAAAGAGAAACAAAAUAAUAUUCAGUCACAGGAGUACAAGAACAUGAAACAUCUUAUUAUGUAUGUAUGCCAUUCUCAAACAAUUAUUGUACAAAACAAGAUAGAGAAGAGCUUUAAAAUCCCAAGGAUCCUGCAAAAAGAAAAGUGAAAAUGUUGUCUCAAUUAAUGUAGUAUAGAUAGACAUUUUUCUUUAUUUUAGUAUUAAAUAAUUAUUUAGAAUAUUAAUAGGUAUUAGUUUUAAUAGUAUUAAUAUGUAUUGUAUGAAUAAUUCCCAUCAUAUAACUUCUGGCUAAAGUUACAAAAUAAAUAAGAAUGAAAAAACAUUUAA